GGCAGAGUAGCUCAAGUGGUAGAGUGCCUGGCUGGUAAACAAGAGGCCAGAGUUCAAACCCCAGUACUGCCA
rnacentral:tRNA from 1 species